CGAGACCUAACGCGCGCUUCGGUGUGUGCGUUCCGCGCAUGCGCCUCCUGCUGACGUUAAUGAAGUGGGGGCGGGAGAACGGCUGCCUACGCAUGCUGUACGCCAUCGCAGCGGAGGGAGGUGGCUGGAAGAGCUUCCUCUGAGAGGCGGGAGUUGCCGGGAAGAGCCAGGCCAAACGUUGAAUUUUUCGGCUUGACAGAAAGAGCUGCGCGUCCAUCCUUGGCGAGAAGCGCCUAAGAGCAGCAUUCCACGCAAAGAUGCAGGCUUUGCAUUUGCCCAAAGUGUUCCUUCCUCCUUGCUACUCCUCUCCCUCACCCACCAGCCCAGUCUGCAUUUCUAACCACCAAUCUUACAAACAGAAGAAGAGCGUUUGAGGAUCAGACCAAAGGACUGUCAAGUCACAGUGGCCAUUCAGAUGCCUCCAGGAAGCCAGGGCAUGAAGGGCUAUUCAUGGCCAUGUCUGGCGAAGACAAGAUUCACACUGACCUGAUCUUUUUAUAUGGAAAAGUGUUGAGAACUCCAAGACAGAUUAUUAGUAGUUGCACCUAUUUAUCAUCCAAAAGUCCAAGAAAGGUGCUGAAACACGUGCCCCACUCUCCAGUAAGUAAAUGCUGAACAUGAACACACACAAGAGCUUCAAGGCAUUGCCUUUAUUUCAAACAGCUUUGGAGAGAAUUGAGCAAAAGUUUUAAGGGAGCAAUGCAUUAUUCAGGAAGCCCAAAUACAGCUUUUUAUAUCCUUGGGCAUAUUUUGAUAAUGGAAGAUAGAGCACCAGAGCACUUAAAUUAUUGCAUAAAAUUGUGUUACUAUAAUUUUAUUAUUAGUUACUAUAAUUUCAUUAUUACCCACAUAAUAUUGUAGCAAUUAUUAUGGAAUAUUUAAAAAGAUUAUUAGAUUUUAUCUAAUCUAGAUUAAAAAUAAAUCAAGAGAAAAUAUUUUUUAUCUAAA